GCAUCGAUGAAGAGCGCAGCCAGCUGCGUGAAUUAAUGUGAAUUGCAGGACACACUGAACAUCGACACCUUGAACGCACAUUGCGGCUCUGGCUCACUGCCAGAGCCACGCCUGUCCGAGGGUCGGCGAACACGUAAUCUAGCCUGCUGCCGUCACUGGUGGCUAGCUGGCGUUGGCGAGUCGCGCGGGCUUUAGACCCGGUCGUCCGCCGUAGACUUCAGCCUCUCUCUGGGCAGCCUGCCGAGGUGGCACGGGGACAGGGCUCGAACGGGCCUUCUGUCUGGUGCCACGUGCCCCUUAGCCGGGGUGCGACCCUCAGUACGGCUCGCUCCAAGUAGUGCCUCCUCAGUAGUGCAAGGAGAGAGAGAGAGCGGCGGCGAUUUGCCCGCCGCCGAAACGGGAGCCUACUCUUUAUAGCUUCUCCCCCAUCACACAUCCGACCUCGGAUCAGACGGGACUACCCGCUGAAUUUAAGCAUAUCAGUAAGCGGAGGAAAAGAAACU
rnacentral:misc_RNA from 1 species